rnacentral:rRNA from 1 species
CCUACGGGUGGCAGCAGUCGAGAAUCAUUCACAAUGGGGGAAACCCUGAUGGUGCGACGCCGCGUGGGGGAAUGAAGGUCUUCGGAUUGUAAACCCCUGUCAUGUGGGAGCAAAUUAAAAAGAUAGUACCACAAGAGGAAGAGACGGCUAACUCUGUGCCAUCAGCCGCGGUAAUACAGAGGUCUCAAGCGUUGUACGGAAUCACUGGGCGUAAAGGGUGCGGAGGCUGUUUCGUAAGUCGGGUGUGAAAGGCGCGGGCUCAACCCGCGGACGGCACAUGAUACUGCGAGACUAGAGUAAUGGAGGGGGAACCGGAAUUCUCGGUGUAGCAGUGAAAUGCGUAGAUAUCGAGAGGAACACUCGUGGCGAAGGCGGGUUCCUGGACAUUAACUGACGCUGAGGCACGAAGGCCAGGGGAGCGAAAGGGAUUAGAUACCCGUGUAGUC